rnacentral:tRNA from 1 species
GGUGGUCCAGUGGUUAGGACUCAGCACUUUCACUGCUGUGGACCUGGGUUUGAUCCUGGUC